AUUAAAAUGUAUUAAUAGCAUGAUAUAUGACUGGAUAAAUCACGGUCAGAUUUCAAUAUUUAGAAAUCUUAGUUAACUAAAGAAUAUAUAGUUAUAAACAUUCAAUUCUGCAGGUGGAAUUAAGAAUAAUUAUAUAUUAAUGUGAUAGUAUCACGUGUUAGCAUACCGCUGUUUUUAUCCAGGUGUAUUGAUUUGUUCUAAAAUAAGAUAAGAUAUCUUUUUAGUCAAAUUAAAAUUCGG